rnacentral:rRNA from 1 species
GAUGAACGCUGGCGGCGUGCCUAACACAUGCAAGUCGAGCGAUUUACCUCGGUAAAGAGCGGCGGACGGGUGAGUAACGCGUGGGUAACCUGCCCUGUACACACGGAUAACAUACCGAAAGGUAUGCUAAUACGAGAUAAUAUGCUUUUAUCGCAUGGUAGAAGUAUCAAAGCUUUUGCGGUACAGGAUGGACCCGCGUCUGAUUAGCUAGUUGGUAAGGUAACGGCUUACCAAGGCGACGAUCAGUAGCCGACCUGAGAGGGUGAUCGGCCACACUGGAACUGAGACACGGUCCAAACUCCUACGGGAGGCAGCAGUGGGGAAUAUUGCACAAUGGGCGAAAGCUUGAUGCAGCAACGCCGCGUGAGCGAUGAAGGCCUUCGGGUCGUAAAGCUCUGUCCUCAAGGAAGAUAAUGACGGUACUUGAGGAGGAAGCCCCGGCUAACUACGUGCCAGCAGCCGCCGUAAGAC